rnacentral:misc_RNA from 1 species
GAUGAAGAACGCAGUGAAAUGCGAUAAUUAAUGUGAAUUGCAGAAUUCAGUGAAUCAUCGAGUCUUUGAACGCACAUUGCGCCCCCUGGUAUUCCGGGGGGCAUGCCUGUCCGAGCGUCAUUGCUGCCCUCAAGCACGGCUUGUGUGUUGGGCUUCCGUCCCUGGCAACGGGGACGGGCCCAAAAGGCAGUGGCGGCACCAUGUCUGGUCCUCGAGCGUAUGGGGCUUUGUCACCCGCUCCCGUAGGGCCAGCUGGCAGCUAGCCUCGCAACCAAUCUUUUUAACCAGGUUGACCUCGGAUCAGGUAGGGAUACCCGCUGAACUUAAGCAUAUCAAUAAGCGGAGGA